ACGAACCAUUUCAUGCUCACUUUUGAACUGCAACACCUCUUCCUCUGUCGUACAUUCUUGUAGACUUGCCUGUAAACCAUACUCUAUCAUAACCCCUACUUCCGGUCUGCCAAGUAACUAAACGAUAAGUCACUGCAGGCGCUAAGCUAAGCUAGUUCAAUUCAGGGAAGGGAAGUUUAGUAACAAGUGAAUCAGUGAAAUCUACUUUAAUGGAAUGUCCUGUUCGAUCCUGUGCGGUAAGAACGAGUGCUGUGUUCGUUGUUUGGCCCCGAUCCAUACUAAAUGAUAUAUAAAUUCUAUAUUCUCUUUAAAAAGGAUAAAACACAGAUGAAAGUCAAACACCCGAACCUAUCUCCUAUGGCUAACUUGAAUUCUCUCUUAUAAUAUAAUAGAACUGAUUCUUCUCAUGAACUUCCCUCUUUUUCUUCUCAUGAACUUAGCCAAAGCCAGAUCCUGCUCUUUCUUAUUUAUUAUAGAUCUAACUAACCAACAACCCAUGGGGCCCGACUUAGAGCUAGCAACCUUUCUUACCUUGAGGAGUCCUGUGCCCUUAAGUUAUUGGGGAAAGCAAUUGACCAAACCACGGUAGCCCU
rnacentral:lncRNA from 1 species